rnacentral:rRNA from 1 species
UUAGAGUUUGAUCCUGGCUCAGGAUGAACCCUAGCGGCAGGCCUAACACAUGCAAGUCGAGGGGUAACAGGGGAGCUUGCUCCCGCUGACGACCGGCGAAUGGGUGCGUAACGCGUAUGGAACCUGCCCACCGCAGGGGGAUAGCCCGUCGAAAGGCGGAUCAAUACCCCAUGGUCCCUAGGGCCCGCAUGGGCUUCAGGGUAAAGAUUUAUCGGCGGUGGAUGGCCAUGCGUGCCAUUAGCUAGUCGGUGGGGUAACGGCCCACCGAGGCGAUAAUGGCUAGGGGGUCUGAGAGGAUGGUCCCCCACACUGGUACUGAGACACGGACCAGACUCCUACGGGAGGCAGCAGUGGGGAAUAUUGGUCAAUGGGCGGAAGCCUGAACCAGCCAUGCCGCGUGCAGGAUUGACGGCCCUACGGGUUGUAAACUGCUUUUGCGCGGGAAGAAUAACCCCCUCGUGAGGGGGGAUGCCGGUACCGCGCGAAUAAGGAUCGGCUAACUCCGUGCCAGCAGCCGCGGUAAUACGGAGGAUCCGAGCGUUAUCCGGAUUUACUGGGUUUAAAGGGUGCGUAGGCGGGCUCUUAAGUCUGCGGUGAAAGUCAUCGGCUCAACCGGUGGAUUGCCGUGGAUACUGGGGGCCUUGGGUACGGUCGGGGCCGGCGGAAUGCGUGGUGUAGCGGUGAAAUGCUUAGAUAUCACGCGGAACGCCGAUCGCGAAGGCAGCUGGCCAGGCCGUUACCGACGCUGAGGCACGAAAGCGUGGGGACCAAACAGGAUUAGAUACCCUGGUAGUCCACGCCGUAAACGGAUGAUCACUGGGUGCCGGCGACACACCGUCGGUGCCUGAGGGAAAAGCAUUAAGUGAUCCACCUGGGGGAGUACGAUCGCAAGGGUUGAAACUCAAAGGAAUUGACGGGGGCCCGCACAAGCGGAGGAACAUGUGGUUUAAUUCGAUGAUACGCGAGGAACCUUACCUGGGCUCGAACGCAUUCGGAAGGGCACGGAAACGUGUCCGCCAGCGAUGGCCGUUUGCGAGGUGCUGCAUGGUUGUCGUCAGCUCGUGCCGUGAGGUGUCGGGUUAAGUCCCGCAGCGAGCGCAACCCCUGCCGUCUGUUGCCACCACCUUGGGUGGGCACUCAGGCGGGACCGCCGGUGACAAACCGGAGGAAGGUGGGGACGACGUCAAGUCAUCAUGGUCCUUAUGUCCUGGGCUACACACGUGCUACAAUGGCCGGUACAGAGCGCAGCGAGGCCGCGAGGCCGAGCGAAUCGCCCAAAGCCGGUCCCAGUACGGAUUGGAGUCUGCAACUCGACUCCAUGAAGUUGGAAUCGCUAGUAAUCACGCAUCAGCAUGGCGUGGUGAAUUCGUUCCCGGGCCUUGUACACACCGCCCGUCAAG